UACGUAGGGUGCGAGCGUUGUUCGGAAUUACUGGGCGUAAAGAGCUCGUAGGUGGUUUGUCACGUCGUCUGUGAAAUUCCGGGGCUUAACCUCAGGCGUGCAGGCGAUACGGGCAAUACUUGAGUGCUGUAGGGGAGACUGGAAUUCCUGGUGUAGCGGUGAAAUGCGCAGAUAUCAGGAGGAACACCAAUGGCGAAGGCGGGUCUCUGGGCAGUUACUGACGCUGAGGAGCGAAAGCAUGGGUAGCGAACAGGAUUAGA
rnacentral:rRNA from 1 species